UCCAAAUGUAUUAAUACUCUGAAGCUGUUACCUUGAGCUCUGAGGAUGGUGUCAUGGUUCAACAUUGCUUAAUGAAGUUCUUCUGAUAUUCCUGAACGGGGUCACAAGACCUGGAGGUGGAGCAAGCAUUUGUGACCACGAGGAAGAAAACCACACAAAUCAUGAUGACUUCACUGAGAAGCUGCAGUUGUACUGGACUGUCUACCUCCUGACUUCCUGUCAUGUGGAGAAAAUUCAUCUCAAUUGGUUAACCUACUGAGUUGGGUUCAUGUAACUGAAUGCAAUCCUAUCUAAUAUAAUAUUGUAUCCUUUCCUUAGAGAUUUGCAAUGUACUUAGCAUAUUAAAGAUUCCAAGGAAUCCUA